rnacentral:rRNA from 1 species
GAUCUGGCUCAGGACGAACGCUGGCGGCGUGCUUAACACAUGCAAGUCGAGCGAUGAAGCUCUUCGGAAGUGGAUUAGCGGCGGACGGGUGAGUAACACGUGGGUAACCUGCCUCAUAGAGGGAAUAGCCUUCCGAAAGGAAGAUUAAUACCGCAUAAGAUUGUAAUAUCGCAUGAUAUAGCAAUUAAAGGAGUAAUCCGCUAUGAGAUGGACCCGCGUCGCAUUAGCUAGUUGGUGAGGUAACGGCUCACCAAGGCGACGAUGCGUAGCCGACCUGAGAGGGUGAUCGGCCACAUUGGGACUGAGACACGGCCCAGACUCCUACGGGAGGCAGCAGUGGGGAAUAUUGCACAAUGGGGGAAACCCUGAUGCAGCCAACGCCGCGUGAGUGAUGACGGUCUUCGGAUUGUAAAGCUCUGUCUUCAGGGACGAUAAUGACGGUACCUGAGGAGGAAGCCACGGCUAACUACGUGCCAGCCGCUGC